rnacentral:rRNA from 1 species
UACGUAGGGGGCAAGCGUUGUCCGGAAUCAUUGGGCGUAAAGGGUGUGUAGGUGGCGCCGUAAGUCGGGUGUGAAAUCUCAGAGCUCAACUCUGAAACUGCACUCGAUACUGCUUUGCUUGAGGACUGGAGAGGAGAUUGGAAUUCACGGUGUAGCAGUGAAAUGCGUAGAUAUCGUGAGGAAGACCAGUGGCGAAGGCGGAUCUCUGGACAGUUCCUGACGCUGAGGCGCGAAGGCCAGGGGAGCAAACGGG